GGGGAUGCAGCUUAGUGGUAGAGUACUUGACUAGCAUAAGUGAGGCCCUGGGUUCAAUUCCCAGUAUCACCA
rnacentral:tRNA from 1 species